rnacentral:tRNA from 1 species
GGGCGAAUGGUUUAGUGGUAUAAUACUCCCUUAGCAUGUUUCUUCAGAAGAACUUGUCUAGUCUGGGAGUGGUCCAGGGUUCGAUUCCCUGUUCGUCCA